ensembl:snRNA U6 U6 spliceosomal RNA
CUUCUUUUGUGAGUGGUGAUGUUAGUGAUUGUGGAGAGAGAGAGAAGGGUGAAUAAAAUUGUAACGAUUUGGUAGGUUGAAAAACCUGUCUGGGAUUUUCAUUAUUAGAAAAUUGGAGCAUGGCCCCUGCGCAAGGAUGACACGCAAAUUCGUGAAGCGUUCCAUAUUUUU